rnacentral:misc_RNA from 1 species
UAGAGGCGCUAAAAAAGGUAUGAACGAAACCAAGCAACAGGACACGAAUACUCAAGAAGAUGAUCGCGUUUGUUUCGUUGAUGAUGUUUUGAAUAACUGUUUUCACGUGAGGAAAAUUGUAAACUUCAAAAAUGUAAUUCGUACUUUAUUUUGGGAAGGUUGUUUGUCCAGCUGUGUUUCUUUAUUGUCAUAGUGUAGUUCCAUAUGAAAGGAAAUUACCAAACUCUUAUAAUUUCUUGAAUCCUAACUAUUCUACUGGUAUUUCUGCUGUCCGUGGAAGUUUCAAAAAUGCAUUUGAACCUAGUCAGCUUAAAUCCAUAGAACAUGUCUUGUUUCUCACCCAUAUCUUUUGGAAAAUUAAAAGAGAGUACACUCAAUGGCAAAACUUAAUAAUGCUCAUCGUUUGGUUUGUGGAACCUUGGUUUUACUUCUUGUUGAUGUUAUAUGGGUUGCCUCAUCUGAAUUAACCAAAUAUAUAUUUAAAGAUGAAAAUUUUAGCAAGCCUUUUUUUAGUACAUAUGUGAAAACGACCAUGUUCAUGCUUUAUUUAUUGGGUUUUAUAUUUUGGAAACCAUGGCGAAGUCAGUGCAGUUCUAAACCUAUGUAUGCCCUUGUUGAUCCCACUAGCAGUGAAAUUGAAGAACAUGAUUGUGAUUAUGUUGAGGCUGAGCCUUUAUUGAGUGAAUCAGUAUUCAUACCUAUUAAAUAUCAUGAUGGUGGUGAAAAAAGCAGUGGAAAUGAAUCGGAUGAUUCAUCAUCUAAACAAAGUGUUAAAUCUGUACACUUUAACCAAGUCACUGAAGUUCGUCAUUUAUCAGAAUCACAAGCUGAUGAUGCUUUAUUGGCACGGCUGUCCUAUGCAGCUUCACUUAGAGCUCAAGAAAGUGCUUUCAGGGCUGCCAACAAAUUACCAAUGAAACAAGUCGCAAGAAUUGCACUACUUUUCUGCAUAUUGUGGUUUUUGGGUAAUCUUUCUUAUCAAGAAGCACUGUCAAACACUGAAGCAGGUAUAGUCAAUAUCUUAUCAUGCUCAUCAGGAUUAUUCACACUUAUAUUGGCAUCAAUAUUUCCUGCAAACAGUGGAGAUCGGUUUACACUUUCAAAAUUUUUAGCAGUUGCCAUGAGCAUAGUUGGAGUAUCAAUAAUAUCAAGUGAAGAUAAAGGCAUGCAAAAUUUCUUUCCCCCUGGAGCUGUUUGGUCUAUUCUUGGAGCCUUCUUUUAUGCUGCUUAUGUUGUGUUGCUGAGGAGAAAAGUGGAUAGUGAAGAAAUGUUAGAUAUUCCUAUGUUUUUUGGUUUUGUUGGCUUAUUUAAUCUGUUAUUAAUGUGGCCAGGAUUUAUUUUCUUGCAUUAUACAAAAGUAGAAGAAUUUCAGUGGCCUUCUCAACACCAGUGGUUAUUGUUACUGUGCAAUGGAUUGAUUGGUACUGUAUUUUCUGAGUUACUUUGGCUUUGGUUGAUUACCCUUUGCCAUUUUUCCUGGGAACAAUGCCAAUGUUUUUGUCAUUCUUUGCUGUUGCAUUUUUAACACAUUAUGAAAACUGGGAUCCUGUUCUUGUUGGUGUCAACAAACUAGUCAAUUUAUGUUUUAGGAAAAAACAAAGGGUACGUGAUAUAGAUUAUGAACAGACUGAAUCUCUGAUCAAUGUAAAUAGUGAAUAUACAUAACAAAAAUACUGCAUACAUUCUUUAAGGUCAUUGAUAUUGCGUCACAAGAACUUUUUGAACUGGAGCUUUUCAUUCUUUUAUAUCAGAAGUACUUGCAGCUAACAAAAUUACUUUUUGUAAUGCUCUCCUCUUGUAAAAUGUCAUUAUCAUCAAAUUUUAAAUAUGCAUAAAAGUAUCUAAUAACCAAAUGUUUUAUUUAUAUUAGUGUAUAGUAUAUGUUUUGAGUUUUUGUAAUGUAAGAAAUUAUGUAUCUUGUAAAUAAAACAUGACAAUUUACUCUAUUAAUGAUUUUGUAUGCAUUUAAGUUUAUAUUUGUGAUAAAUUAUUUUCAUACUAAAAUGGUAUAAAAAGCUUUAAUUUAGGGAAAAAAAAUAUUUUGUGUGCAGAUUUUUCUUAUACAUCUAUGUUUACGAAAUGUAUUUUAGUGAGGCUUUAUAAGUAUUUAUAUUAAAAAAGGACUUGUAAUAUAUAAAAAAUGCUCCCAAAUAUUUUAAAAUGUCAUCUUACUUAACAUAUCCUUUCAUAUUUUGAAUUAAAUUUCAAAUAUAAAGAAUGGAUAUCAUGUAAUUUUGCUUUAGUCUGUGUGUAAAUUAUUGCUUCUGAAGAUCUGUAAAAAUGUGAUAGAAAAUUAUAUGUUAGACUGAUGUUGACAAAUUGUGGUAUAAUAAAUUUAUAUUUCAUUUGUGAGUCUUGA